rnacentral:misc_RNA from 1 species
AAUGCGAUAAGUAGUGAAUUGCAGAAUUCAGUGAAUCAUCGAAUCUUUGAACGCACAUUGCGCCCUUUGGUAUUCCUUAGGGCAUGCCUGUUCGAGCGUCAUCUAAACCUUCAAGCCCUGCUUGGUGUUGGGUGCCUGUCCCGCCUCCGCGCGCGGACUCACCUCAAAUCCAUUGGCGGCCCCCGCGUCGGCCACGAGCGCAGCAGAAACGCGAACUCGUGAGCCCGUCCGGGCGGCUCCCAGAAGCUACACCCACCCAGUUUGACCUCGGAUCAGGUAGGGAUACCCGCUGAACUUAAGC